GUGCGUUCGUGCGCGGUGCGGCGGCGUUCAGCCGGUUGCUGACGGCCGCCCUUGGGAAGCGCUGCUGUGCGCUGGGGGAGGAAUUGCUUUGCCACGCUUCCUCCGAGCCGCCUCGAGUUGUCAGUACGUCUCUUCUGGGUGUCACGCAGACUGAGCUGUGACGGUCCCGCGGGGACUUUGCAAAGCGGCGUGCCGUGGCCGAUGCACGGGCUGGAGCCUCGCUCCGUGCCCUGCGCUGUGCCUGGAGCCCGGCCCCAGCCGCGGCUGUGCCACAGGGCCCACCGAGAGCAUCCCCUGCCUGCAGAAAUGGGGGCACAGAAACGGGCACGGGAGAUCCGGCACCCCUCGGGCAGGGGCUUUGCAGCGGUGGUGGUGAGGAUGCGAGCCCUCGUGCAGAAAGACAACUCGCCCCACCUGCUCCAAACACUCAGCCACUUGUCUCUGUGAGUGCUCUGAUUACAUUUGCUUAGCAAACUCUUAAUCAUGUUUUACAUUACUCUCCUAUUUUCCCUCAUUUUCAUUGUUGCACUGAAUUUUAAAUUAGAUUACAGGCUCUGCGGGCUAGAGAUCACCCUUUGUUAGUACAAACCGCUCUAAUUGGGACCGAUGAGCCGUGCUCAGCACAGCUGGAUCCCUCCCUGACUGACUGCGCGAUUCUUCCUAGUGUUUGGUCGACCUUUGUGACUGGGACUUCCCAACUGCAUUUCUCACUGAAUUACCGCAUCUCCGCUUACAAAUGCACCGUGUUUCGCUGCUCUGCAAGCAGAGCGUAAAUAGCCCUUCUGAUUUGCAGAGCGGUGUUCCUUCCCUUCGGUGCUCGUCUCGCUGCGGUCACGUUGCACAGGGAGCCUGUAGUAGGAGUGCCCCACGUGCCUGCGGCCCUGCAGGCUGAGGAGCCUGGUGGUGCCUCUUCCUUUUGGGAACAGCCGAGGUCGUGCCCGUUGGACACCAUCAGGUGCACUGGGUGUGUUAUGUGGAACACCAGACAUUGCCAGUAACAGCACCUGUGCUGUGGGCUGGGGCUGUGACAGGAGUGUCCCCGGGUCCUGGAGUCCGGGCCUGUCCCCAAAGGGUGCAAAGAAGGCCGCGGGCACUGCGGAGCCUCCCAGCCUUGAAGCAGCACAGCCCAAAGAACUGCUCCAGCCUCAUCCCUUUCCACCCUCUGUCCUUCUACAGCUCUUUCUCUUACAGUGAGGGCUCUGAGCCCCCUGGGCUCGCGGUACCCACGGCACCCUCCCUGCCCAGCUCCGUGAAUGUCAGGUUGAGGUGGGACUGGGCCUGACGGGCUCGUUGUCCCAUUGGUGUCUCACCACAGCAAGUGCCUGUGGGUCAUUAACAAAGAUGCUGCAAACCUGUUCUGGGAUUUGUGCCUGGUUUUGCCUCAAUAAGCGUACUGUCUUCCCUGCCCCUUCUCCUGUGCUGGCUUCCAGUUGCUUGACUCCCACUUAGAGUUUCAUUCCAGAUUAUUUUCACCCCAGCCCCACUGAAGUUUGCCCUGUUGACUGUCCUUGCACUGGAUCUGUGAGCUGCCAGGUUUUCGGGCUUGUCAUGUGGUGUUAUACUCUUAUCUUCAGCUUGUAUUCCUUCUAAAAUUUUCAUAAUUAAGAAAUUCAGGUAAUUUAUAAAAAUAUUUAACAAUUCUGUGCACAUGCACAUACAAAUCCUGAAUCUGCAGGAUUCUUAUCCGCUGACAUUGAAUUCCAUUGGCACCAUCACACUGCCGAUGGUGCAGCUCUCGGCUCGUCUAACCACCACAUGGCAGGGAGCUUUAUGUUCAAGGUUUCCUAAGCAAGGAACGGGUUGCUCUCAGGAGAACCAGCCAGGUCUCCUGCCACACACUGUGUUCUCUGUGGUCUGAUCAAAGUGGAUCAGGCUUGAUCAAACGUAUUGGCUGCUUACGUAAAACAAUCAUCCUUAGGUGAGAUUGGGUUGGCCAAAGGGUUAUUCCCACGGUGUACAGAACUCACAUUUCUGGCUGAAAAAUGCAGUGGCAUCCAUAGUGACCCAGGCCGGGUGGGGGCUGGGGAAUGAGGUGCGAUGCAGUGUCCCAACAAAUCAGUGCUGAGCGAGCACACAGCUGCAUCUGGAGCUUCUGAGCAGUCUUCAGGCACCAAAAGGGAGAGGAAUGUACGUAUGGCAGCAGUCCCGGCUGCGAGGGAAAAGGCUGGGGUGAGGUCUGGUUCUCAGAGAAGCCCCUCUGGGGGCUGAAGGGGCAGAGAGAGGGAGAAAUGUCUCUGGCUGCUUAAUUAAAGAAAAAAUAACCACAGCUUUAAAAAAUAAAAGUUAAAACUAAAAUAGAAAGGGACUCUAAGCAGGGGAUUAAAGAGCCUUUCUCCCCUUCAUGUGUCCCCUCCCCGCCACAUAAAAAGGACUCCUUGUGGUCAAGUUGUUUUAUAUUUUCGAAUUUCGAAUAAAGUUGACUUUUAAAUCUUCCCUCGACAUCUGGUUUGCAACGGCAGGAGCAGCAAGCAGAAGGCAGACGGCAGCCGCCUGUCCCCGAUACCCACAGCAGCUCACACAGACAGGCCCCGCUGCUCUGGUGCUUCUGCCGGGCUGGCACACGGCGCUGGUGGCAGCCGCUGGAGGAAAGCUCUGCGUUAGGACGGUCUGCGUUGUCUAAUUUAACUGACCUUGGCGGUACGUUAAUUGGGUUUUGUUCUACCUGAGGACAAUCUGCCUCAAGGGGGAAAUUACGCUAACAGCUGCUGUGUUUUCCUUAUUGCUCAAAUAUUAGCCGAAAGGUUUCCAGAAGAGAAGGUAUGAAACACUUUGUUCUGUGGACUGGAGGGAUUUUAAGGCAUUUUAGAACACUAUGAAAGCAUUCACCCUCUCUUCUAUCUUGUAAAUGGACUCAGGCCAUUGUUGCCCUGGUCGUAGAGCUGUCGAUGUGGCCACGUUGCUGUAUCAAGCAGAUGAAGACACGGCCACGGUGCUGUGGCUCCCAGCCCUGCCCCUGUGCCAGAGGGCUCGGGGACCCUCAGUGUACCCGCAGAGCGGCCUCUCCCCACCUCCAACCCACCAGGGCUGCUUCAGGGCCGCUGGGUCCUCUCCAGGGAGCUGCUGACAUGCCCAAACUCCCACCAGUCCUCCAAAGGCCUCCACGGGACCAUCAGGGCUGAUGUGAUUUCAUUAUGGGUUUCAGCUGGUGUCCCACAGGCUGAAGCCAUUUGCCAUUACAAUUUUGCUUGUAAUGGAGUUAUUUAUUGAUCUCACAAAGUCAUAAAUAGGAAGCUCGGGUGUUCUUCGGCAUGAGAUACCCAGCAGUCUGUUUCCUACAAACAUCAUUAUAUGUCGUAAUUCACUGAAAAAGAUACUCAUUUUUAUGGAAAGGUCACAGUUAUUAAUUAUAUGAAUAGCAACAGCAGCUCUCAGUGAGAUCGCUUCCCAGCUGCGUGCUGCAUGGACGUAUGCACAGACAGGUGGGCAGCUCUGCCUGUGAGGAGCACAGCCUGAGAGAUAACAGAAAAGCAGGAGGGAAGAGGAUUCCGGAGCACAGAGGGCAGGGCCAGGAGAACUACAGCCACAAAAUAUUUUGUUGCAGUGCAGGGAAGUCUUCAGCAUCCCUCCCAGCAAGCUGGUACCACUGUCCAGGAAAGAUGUCAUGGUCCAUAACCAUAGGAUGCUUGGGUUCCAAGACCCAACUCCUCCUCCAAAGACCGUGUGUGUGCUUCCAAAAACUAUAGAAUCUGCUCCAGAAGAGUGCAGGCAAGGAAUGAAGGACCCUGGAGAAGAAACACUUUCGGGCCCUGGAAGCUGGCGAGCUCCUAUCUUCAGACUGGUGAGGCUGCAGCUGGGUUACAGUGGGUCGCUGGGGGGAGGCUGUGCUCAUAGCAGUGGUGAAUAGGGUGGGAACCCCCUGGGAAUGAGGACAAAAGGAGUUUCCAGCUGAAGAACUCAGAGAAGGAAGAACGUGAUGGCGUUUUAGGGUGCAGUGGGCCAGGGCUGCUGGCAUGGAGACUGGGGCUUCCUCCAGCAGCGGGGAGCAGCACAAAUCAGAACUCACUGCCUUUCUCGAACCGUGCCCUUCUUUGAAGAUAUUUGUGCAGUUAGGAAUUUGCCGUGUUUACUCCCAGGUCAGACAAAACACGGGGGAUUCAAAAC
ensembl:lncRNA